GAUCAUGGCUCAGAUUGAACGCUGGCGGCGUGCUUAACACAUGCAAGUCGCGCGUGAAAGGACUUCGGUCCGAGUAAAGCGGCGCACGGGUGAGUAACGCGUGGAUGAUCUACCCAUGAGUUAGGAAUAACGGCUGGAAACGGUCGCUAAUACCAAAUACGCUCCGAUUUCAACUUCGGGGGAAAGGUGGCCUCUGCUUGCAAGCUACUGCUCAUGGAUGAGUCCGCGUCCCAUUAGCUAGUUGGUGGGGUAACGGCCCACCAAGGCGACGAUGGGUAGCCGGUCUGAGAGGAUGACCGGCCACACUGGGACUGGAACACGGCCCAGACUCCUACGGGAGGCAGCAGUGGGGAAUAUUGCGCAAUGGGCGAAAGCCUGACGCAGCGACGCCGCGUGAGGGGAAUGAAGGUCCUCGGAUCGUAAACCUCUGUCAGGAGGGAAGAACCGCCACGGUGCUAAUCAGCCGUGGUCUGACGGUACCUCCAAAGGAAGCACCGGCUAACUCCGUGCCAGCCGCGGC
rnacentral:rRNA from 1 species